rnacentral:rRNA from 1 species
AGUGUACGCUGGCGGCGUGCUUAACACAUGCAAGUCGAACGAGAACGGGUUAUAGCUUGCUAUAACUGUCAGCUAAGUGGCGCACGGGUGAGUAAUAUAUAGGUAACGUGCCCUAGAGAGGGGGAUAACAAUUGGAAACGAUUGCUAAUACCCCAUAUGCCUUUAAGUCAUAAGACUGCAAGGGAAAUAUUUAUAGCUCUAGGAUCGGCCUGUACGGUAUCAGCUAGUUGGUGAGGUAAUGGCUCACCAAGGCAAUGACGCCUAACUGGUUUGAGAGGAUGAUCAGUCACACUGGAACUGAGACACGGUCCAG